CUCAACCCGAGCCAGGUCUCCUAGAGAUAAACAUAUGGCUUCUGCAUGGUUAUGUAACCAGGGUAGAGUCUCUUCCCAUAGCAGACUACAGAGAGGUUAGAGUCUCUUCCUAUAACAGACUACAGAGAGGGUAGAGUCUCUUCCCACAGCAGACUACAGAGAGGGUAGAGUCUCUUCCCACAGCAGACUACAGAGAGGUUAGAGUCUCUUCCUAUAACAGACUACAGAGAGGGUAGAGUCUCUUCCCAUAACAGACAACAGAGAGGGUAGCGUCUCUUCCCACAGCAGACUACAGAGAGGGUAGAGUCUCUUCCUAUAACAGACUACAGAGAGGUUAGAGUCUCUUCCCAUAACAGACUACAGAGAGGUUAGAGUCUCUUCCUAUAACAGACUACAGAGAGGGUAGAGUC
ensembl:lncRNA